UACGGAGGGGGCUAGCGUUAUUCGGAAUUACUGGGCGUAAAGCGCACGUAGGCGGCUUUGUAAGUAGAGGUGAAAGCCCGGAGCUCAACUCCGGAAUUGCCUUUAAGACUGCAUCGCUCGAAUCAUGGAGAGGUGAGUGGAAUUCCGAGUGUAGAGGUGAAAUUCGUAGAUAUUCGGAAGAACACCAGUGGCGAAGGCGACUCACUGGACAUGUAUUGACGCUGAGGUGCGAAAGCGUGGGGAGCAAACAGG
rnacentral:rRNA from 1 species